CUCUCUCUUUUUUUUUUAACUUAACUGACAAGGUGAGUGGGCUGGCUGUUUUCAUGUCUUUUCGAAAGUGUUAGCCGUCUGACACAAAAUUCAAAUUUAAAAACCAAUAAUCUUUUAAUACCUUUUAUCUCCUCUUUUGUGCAGUACCUUUUAUCUCCUCAAUUAAAACAUUUUCUUCUCUUUUUCUCUAUUAUUUAUUUUUUUUAAAUCCCCAAAAAAUCUUCUUGAAAGCCAAUCGCUUCCAGUAAUGCUCUCAUCUUGCUAAUCUUUCCUACUUUCCUUCUUUUUUGUCUCGUCUUUUUCCCAGGCUUCGUCAACCUUCCAUUUUUUUUGCGUCCUUUCUCUCUUUCCUUUCUUCUUUUCCUUUUCCUUUCUUCUUUCUUUUCUCUUUUUCCUUUCGUUUUUUUUCUCUUUUCUCUUUUUUCCUUUCUCUCAGCCAGUCUUCUCAUCUCGCGGUUCCCGGCAAAGACUUCCGAUCGUCGUUGCGGUGAUUCUCGGCGCCAGAUUUGGAUGGCAUGCAGCGGUAUUUCGUCCGACGGUUCGCUGAAUAGCGUUUCUCCUUUCUCACGUCGUUUUCAUUUUUUUUUGACGAAAUCCCUAAUGGGUUUCUUUUUUCCAUUGACAGCCGCCAUCCAGCUUCAUCCCUCUAGCCAUUUCCGGUGACUCUGCGGCUUCCCUUGGCGAUUUUCCGGCGAACUGCGACUCCGCUUGGCAAUUGUUGUCGGAUCUACAACUUCUUUUGGCGAUUUUCCAGCAAACCGCAGCUGCUCUUGGUGAUUUUUCGGUGAGCCACAAACCUUUGGUGUUUUUCGGUGGUUCUUGAUUAUCUGGGGUGAUUUUCAGCAGUGUGGGUGAGUUUCUUCUACUGUUUUUGUUAUAUAUAUAUAUUAUUUGUAUAAGUAUAUAUAGGUAUUUAUAUAUGUUUACAUGCAUGUGUAUACAUGUGGGUAUUUAUUUAUCUAUGUGUGUACUCUUACUCAUUGAUCUUGGUGAAUGUAGCUUUAUCAUUCCAUGUUUACAAAUUCUGAUUUGUGGAAUUGGUGAGUUUGAUGUGCCCUUUUUUCCAUCUUUCCUUUUUUCUUGGUAUAUACAUUGUUACACUAUGUUGCAUAUUCUAAAAAAAAAAAUUCUUCAUUCUUUAUUUUUCAUGUUUUUGGUUGUGGUUAAUGGUUGAUAAAUGGUGUGGAUGUGUAUUUGACAGAAAGAUGUGGAUUGAAGGGGACUCAUGUGGUCAGAAGUAGUAGUGUAAAUAGCCUUCAUACUGAAUCUCCUUCCCAUAUUUCCAUUAGUGAAGACGAAAAAUCUUCUCCCAAUGUCUCUAACAAUGGUAAUCUAUAUCCUUGGUCUCCUCCCACUAGGGGUGUCUACCGCAAUAGCCCACGCUUUUCCGGUACACCAUCAACCCACCAAUCUCAGAAAAAGGCUAAGCCAUCUACCCAUGUGACCCGAGUUCAUUCCUCAUAUCGAGUUCCUAGAUCUCCCUCUGCUCUUAUUUCAAAAUCUAGUUAUCUCCAUUCGCUAGAAGCUAAGAGGGCUACUUUGGGUUACUUAGAACGAAUUAAGGGCAGGCAUAACAUUCCUUCCUAUGUCCAGCUUAGGGUACCCUGUGUAGAUGAGCAACUAAAAUGCCCUUCAACUGAUGAGAUUGCCCUUCACAUUGACCUCUUUGAUCUAAGACUCCGCUGCCUCUCUAACCUUCUUUUAUCAGGAUGUUUAGUACUUGAGGAUAGCUCUUAAGCAGCUAUCUCUUCUAGGGUGGAGGACACUCACAGAUUUGCAAGUAUUAUAGUCGGAAGUAUUGGGGCAUGCUAUUUAUAUUCGAUAUUUGAGGGGACUUUACCAAUUUAAGAAGCCCAAAGGUCAUGUUGUUGCUUAUUUCUCUACCUCGGGUGUCCAUGGCAAUCUUAUUAGAGGGGACCCUGUCUUGAAGAAGGGUUAUAAAUAAGGUAGGUUUGUUGCUGAUGGUAAGUGGUGGGAGGAUACCCCAGAUGAUAAAGACAGUAAGUGUUCCCCUCGUAGCUGAUCAUUAUUUAUUUUUAUCCUAGUCCACUUGCAUAAAUGUUUUGCUAACCUUGGGUUCCCCAUGGCUUUAUAGAUGUCACGUGGGUGAAAAGGUCAUGCCCUAUUCAGGAGGUGGGGAGAGAGGUGAGUAACUUUAUGGAGAGGUUCCGAGCUGUAUAGAGGGGUAGUGAUGUGUUGCAGGAGAGUAGGUUGGAGAGAGCGGGGCUAAUUGACAAAGGUUUUUCAUCUCUUUCUAGUGGCGAGUCAUGUAUGACUUUUAGGUGUUAAGGGGGUACCCUAUUAUUAUCCAUGUGACGAAGGUGCCCCACGAUCACCAUGUUUUACAUUUAGCUUUGCUAUUUUCUAUUUCCCUUUGCUUUGUGUUCGUUUUCUCGUGUGUUAGGUGCAGAUAUAGAAUCAACGGAUGACGCUUUUGAUGCUUUCUUCUAAGGGAUGGUGGGUGUAUCUUUCGGUACUCAGGAUUUUGCAUUACCACAAAAGAAUACUCGCCUCUUCAUGGCCCUAGAGUAAAGGUGAAAUCGCAAGGUACCUCUCAGACUGGAUCGUUCCCAAAAGAGAAAAUUUGGGUUAGUUUCUUUAUUUCCUGAUGAUCUUCAUGAGGGUGAACUAGAUCCGAUGUCCAACUAGAAGUUCUCAUAUCUAGCCCAUUGUUUUUAUUAUUCUGCAGAGAACGUUACCCCUAAGAUUGCCGCGGAGACAGAUAUGUUUAGUUUGAGUGAGCGUUAUGGCCGAACACUUAAGGCUACUCAAGAAGUAAGUUCUUCUAGGUUACCUCGAGUAUACUUUUUCUCAUUCAUUAUUUAUUUAUUUAUAUAGUUAUACACACACACACACACACACACAUAUAUAUAACACUCUUCAACAACUGUAAGGGGCCUUUCUUCUGAGUCAUUAUCUUCCAGACUUUUAUUCAUUUGUCGCUACCCAGUCAAAGGUUGAAAAUUUGAUGGGUGAGCUCUAAAGUCAACAAUCUCUUAAGGAAAAGCUUGUUUAGGAAGUCAAGGCAAUGAAUGAGCGCCUUGAUGAUCUGUCUGGAGAGAAAGCUCGGGUAAAAAGAGACUGUGACGAGCUAAGGGCCAAAUACGGGAUCAGUUGUCUCAGUAAAAAACGAUGGCAGAUAAGGCAUUUUCCCUUAUCAUGACGAAGGUAUAGAGCAUGAAUCCAGAAGUGUUGGUACCCUGGGUCAAGAGAUACGUUAACAAGGCAAUUGAAGUGUAACAUAUGUAUAAAUUUAAAAUAAGAAUGAGGCGGUGAUUAAGGAUUUUGGCGGUUGAGGAAUUUUAAAAUAAAAGAAGCUGGAAAAACAAAGCAAAAACAGACACAUGCACGUGCGAGAGAAGCUGCCAAACCGACCCAACUACAAACCCGAAAACCCGUCCCAACCCGCGAAUGUAACCCGGCCAUAUCUCGCAAUUUCGGCCACCACUCCGGCCAAGCAAGGUAUCAAUCGAAAGCUUGUGAGACGCUGGUCAUACUUUAACUGUCAUCUUCGUCGGAAAUCGACUGGAACGCCGCCGUUUAAGGCUUGAAAAACCACAGCCAAAACCCAUCACUACCGCCAUUGAUCUUACCGAAAUUUGACCACGCCACCACCUCAGUUUUGUUCCCCACGACUCCCUCUUCCAUUUCCGACCAUCCACUGCCGUCGGGGACAUCGUUUUGCCGUUGAUCGGCCGUUGAAGGACUUACGGCUUUGGGAGCUCGAUCCGAAGCCAUCGCCACGCGUAGGAGGUCAUUACCGCCACCAUUGGACUCAAUGUGGCCAUAACUUUCAGACUUGAGCUUUCUAGCCAGCGUUGACCAAAUUCUGGUGACUGUUGACCACCAAGGGCAUUUAGGUAAUUUCACAGUAUGAGGGCAAUUUUGUAAUUUCUAAGCCUAUGGAUAUUUUAAUAAUUCCUAGAAUUGAAGAUUGGGUGUAAUUACGAUUCUGAGGGUAAUUCGGUGAUUUGCGAUUUCAGAGUAUUUUAAUGAUUUACGGACUUGAGGGCAUUUUAGCAAUUUUAUCGACACGGGAGUUGUAAAUUAUGGAUAGAUGUUCGUUUCGAGUUUAUUGCAUAAAUUUAGUUGUAAUUUCGAUUUACGGAAAAUAAUUAUGUCAUUUCCUUGAUUUAGGAGGAUCCGCGAGCGAGAACUGGUCCGCAGACGUAGACGAUAACUGAGUGUGAACACCGUCACUGUGAGUGGAAUAUACAAAACCUAUUUUCAUAGUUAAUUAUGAUAGUAAAGCAUGUUUGCGAAAUAAGUAUUUUAAAUGUUCUGAUUUAAUGAUUCCCUCAAAAUGAAUUUUAUUAACGCAUUGAUAUUUUAUUAAAAUGUUUGGUUAAUGAUUUUGCGUAUCGACUUUGAAUAAGCAUGUUAGUAUUUUAAAGAUAAGAAAAGUGGAUUCAAAUGAGGUAUGAUUUAAAGUAUGGUUAAAAGGUAUGUGAAUAUGAGUAUAAUGAUUAUUUUUUAAAUCAUUAGACAAUACCAUUCCCCUCCAGAUACAGUGAUACAGAUGUGAUGAGAUAGAGGCCUUUGGGGCCCGUCUGAACACACAUAGAGGCUUUGGGCCAUGUGUUUGGGCGCUUUUUCUUUUGGGGGCAUAUGCACGCGGUAUGAUGAUUACAGAGAUACAGAUAUGAGAUACAGAAAGAUAUUGAGAUGCAGAUGAUAUAGAUGAGAUACAGGCCUUUGGGGCCCGUUUGAGUACACAGAGGCUUUGGGCCGUGUGCUUGGGCGUUUUUGUCUUUUGGGGACUAGAUUAUGCAUGCACAGAUAUGAUGAGAUAUGAGAUGGUAUUUCCUUGUCUAUCCGUGUAACUCCGGGGCAUGACGGUAUCCAUAUAGUACGUCAUUGCCCGUCCGUUGAGGUCCGGAUACGAUGAGAUUAUUUCCAUGGGUACUUGUUUGGUGAUGAUUUUCAAAUUUGUGUAUUAUAUAUGAUAUUGUGAUAUGAUUUCCAUGGUUAGUAAUCUGAUUUAAAUGUUAAAUGAUUUAUUAAUGGUUUCUCGCAUAUGGUUUGAUGAAAUCAUGUUUGGAAAUGAUAUGAUUAUUUCUUUUUAAAUAAGAAUUAAUUUUCAAAAACUACUAUUCACUCACUGAUCUCACUGAGUUUUAAACUCACCCCGUUUUUAUUUUAUUUUUCCCUACACCAGGAGGUUGUAGGUACACCAGACCGACCCAGCGACUGUAAAUAUAUUUUGAGUCUUGGCCACGUGAUAGUGUUAGAAGAUAUAGAUGAUUUUGUUAGGACAUUUAAGUUAUCUUGUCCUUUUGGGAUUGUAUAAUUUUGUUAUAUUAUUCUUUUGGGAUUAAGAAUAAACUGAGAUAUUAAUAUUAGUUAUAAUAUUAUUUUUUGAGACUUUAGAGAUAUCUUGAGUAAAACUUAGUAUUUUGGUUGAGGAUGUUGAUAAUUGGAGUUGUUGUAUAUUAAAUUAUAUUGGGAGUGUUAUAUUUAUAAAGGAGACUGCUGAAUUUUUGGCAGAAUCUUUAUUAAUAGAAUUAUUAUCAAGUUCGUUUUGAUGAGACUAGAUUGACUCGCUCGAAGGGGAUUCAAGGCGGGUCGUUUCAUGAGACAGAAAGAAACUGUCCACUACCCAAUUGGGUAGUCCAUCCGGGUACCUGGGUACCCAACAUACCCCAGCAAAUGCCUGGCUUAGAUGCUCCUACAUGGGCUGCUCAUAUUUAGGUACCUCGGAGUCUUCUGCUAACCACCAUUUGAAGAAGGAUGUUGGGGAUGAUGUACCCCUUUUAGUGUAGUUAUUACUUUGUGCUGUUGUUUUUCUUGGGCUCCCCACAUUCUGCACUUGGAACUUAUUUCUUUGUUUUGAUUUUUUUGGGAUAUUUUGCAUUGCUUGGAUGUCUCUACUCUUGUGAUAUUGUGCUAUUAAGCCCCUUGUUUUGUAUUUGCAUGUAGUAGUAUUUUACAUCCUUGUUACUCUGCAUCUAAGUACUUGGCUAAGCUGUCAUUUUGUAAAUUUUCGGGGUACCUCGCAUUAUAUUUGACAAAUUCUUCUCUGAAAGGGGUACCUAAGGUACCCAACAAAGAGAUCAUAUUAGGCGCCUAAUGGCUCACGUAGACACAUUUGCGCAUGUCUUUUUUGAAAAUUAUGUUGAAUCUCAACAAAUGGAUAAUCAAAGCAUCAUCAUAACAUUUUGAUUAUAAUAAAGAGUAUGCAGUUGGUGCACCAAAUUUAUUUCUUGCUCUUCUAAAGCUUUCCCCAAAAUUUUGAAUUGCCUAUUCUCCACUGGCGUGUGCAAUUUCUAAUGCUAUGAGUGUCAAUGUACAAGUGUACACAAUAAGUAAUAUAUUGAUGAGUACUCAAAUCGUCUCUACAGGGAUUGAUGAUAUCAGAUUUGCUACAACAACCUUAACAGUGUAGUUUUAUUCUAAAUUAAAAUAAGACAAUCUAUGAAACUAAUACACUAAUUAAAAAAAAUGCAAUAAAGAAAAUUAUCUCAUCAAACACAAGUAUUAAUGUAACGUUCACUUUUAUUUUUAUUUUUUCUCUUUUACCCUUAUUAACUUGAGUAGGAUAGUUAUUAUUGAGUGUUUGUGUGUGAGUAAAAUUUAUCAAAUUGCUUU
rnacentral:lncRNA from 1 species